rnacentral:rRNA from 1 species
GGCUCAGGAUGAACGCUAGCUACAGGCUUAACACAUGCAAGUCGAGGGGAAACGAUAUUGGAAGCUUGCUUCCGAUAGGCGUUCGACCGGCGCACGGGUGAGUAACGCGUAUCCAACCUGCCCACCACUUGGGAUAACCUUGCGAAAGUAAGCUAAUACCCGAUGAUAUCUCUAGAAGACAUCUGAAAGAGAUUAAAGAUUCAUCGGUGAUGGAUGGGGAUGCGUCUGAUUAGGCAGUAGGCGGGGCAACGGCCCACCUAACCGACGAUCAGUAGGGGUUCUGAGAGGAAGGUCCCCCACAUUGGAACUGAGACACGGUCCAAACUCCUACGGGAGGCAGCAGUGAGGAAUAUUGGUCAAUGGGCGGAAGCCUGAACCAGCCAAGUAGCGUGCAGGACGACGGCCCUAUGGGUUGUAAACUGCUUUUAUGCGGGGAUAAAGUGGGCCACGCGUGGCCUUUUGCAGGUACCGCAUGAAUAAGGACCGGCUAAUUCCGUG